rnacentral:rRNA from 1 species
AUUGAACGCUGGCGGCAGGCCUAACACAUGCAAGUCGAGCGGAUGAAGGGAGCUUGCUCCUGGAUUCAGCGGCGGACGGGUGAGUAAUGCCUAGGAAUCUGCCUGGUCGUGGGGGAUAACGUCCGGAAACGGGCGCUAAUACCGCAUACGUCCUGAGGGCGACAGUGGGUGAUCUUCCGACCUCACGCUUUCAUAUGAGCCUAGGUCGGAUUAGCUAGUUGGUGGGGUAACGGCCUACCAAGGCGACGAUCCGUAACUGGUCUGAGAGGAUGAUCAGUCACACUGGAACGGAGAGACGGUCCAGACUCCUAGGGGAGGGAGAAGUGCGGAAUAUUGGACGAUGGGCGAAGGGGUGAUUCAGGGAUGCCGCGCGAAAGAAGAAGGUCGUCGGAUUGUGUAGCACAUGAAGGUGGGAGGGAGGUAAGGAAGUUUAUACCGGGCUGUUUUGAAGUGAACAGCAGAAUAAGGCCCGGCUAACUUCGUG